GGAGGCUUAGCUCAGUUGGGAGAGCGUCUGCCUUACAAGCAGAGGGUCGGGGGUUCGAGUCCCUCAGCCUCCACCA
rnacentral:tRNA from 15 species